rnacentral:rRNA from 1 species
CUUCCCGUGAAGAAGCGGGAAUUAUUCUAUAAGACGAGAAGACCCCAUGAAGCUUCAAAUAAGUAUUCAACUGUUAACUUUACACCAUCAGACACCUAAUAGCCAUGACUACUAAUUUUAGGUUGGGGCGACCAUGGAGUAAAACAAAACCUCCACAAUGAAAAGACCUAACCCCCUUAUUCAAGAACAACAGUUCUAACAAUCAACACAUUGACAUAAUUGACCCAAACCCUUUGAUCAAUGAACCAAGUUACUCUGGGGAUAACAGCGCUAUCUAUUUCAAGAGUUCAUAUCGACAAAUGGGUUUACGACCUCGAUGUUGGAUCGGGGUAUCCCAGUGGUGCAGAAGCUACUAAAGGUUCGUUUGUUCAACGAUUAAAACCCCACGUGAUCUGA